UACGGAGGGUGCAAGCGUUAUCCGGAUUUACUGGGUUUAAAGGGUGCGUAGGUGGGCAGGUAAGUCAGUGGUGAAAUCUCCGGGCUUAACCCGGAAACUGCCAUUGAUACUAUCUGUCUUGAAUUUCCUGGAGGUAAGCGGAAUAUGUCAUGUAGCGGUGAAAUGCUUAGAUAUGACAUAGAACACCAAUUGCGAAGGCAGCUUACUACGGGAAUAUUGACACUGAGGCACGAAAGCGUGGGGAUCAAACAGGAA
rnacentral:rRNA from 1 species